UUCUUGAAGACAAGUCCUUGUUCUCAGCAAAGUGUCCUGAUGCAUUGCCAGAGUAAACUGAAUCCCAGAUCUUGAUGCUUCACUCAGGGGUGUAUCCAUGGAUUGCAUUGCCUUGGUGAUACUUCCUGGGUGCUUCUGUCUCAUUGAUAUUGGGCUCCGCGUGGCAGAUUCCUGAGCCCUUGAAGGUCCCGGGAGGGCAGAGAGUCAACAUGGAGGAACCUGAUGUCCUGCCAUACUGAAGAGCUUCAAGCUGAAUGAGUGAACUUUUUUUGUCUCUGUUUGGCACCCGGAAAGAUCCUUGCUGGAGGUGCAUGACUUGGAGGUGCCCGAUUUGGAGGUGCGUUACUUGGAGGUGCAUCACUUGCGGAUAAGCAGCACCCAAAUCCAGACCCACACAGGGGAAAAUGAGCUACAUCCCAAGGAAAACCUUCUCUCCAGUAAGCAGUAAACUCCAAAACAGCCUCAAACACAUGCCAGCAUAAGGGCAACGGCGUAUCAGUGCUGAUUUGGGCUCUCCACUGCCCUACCUGCUUGAGAGGAGGAGGAGGGGGAGGAAGG